UGUUAAGGAACUCGGCAAAUUGACACCGUAACUUCGGGAUAAGGUGUGCCAGAGGUAGGUGAAGGGCUUGCGCCUGGAGCCGAUUCUGGUUGCAACAAAGCGGCGGUAGCGACUGUUUACUAAAAACACAGGGCUCUGCGAAACCGUAAGGUGACGUAUAGGGCCUGACGCCUGCCCGGUGCCGGAAGGUUAAGGGGAGUUGUCAGCGCAAGCGAAGCGACGAACUGAAGCCCCGGUAAACGGCGGCCGUAACUAUAACGGUCCUAAGGUAGCGAAAUUCCUUGUCGGGUAAGUUCCGACCUGCACGAGGGCGUAACGACUUCCGCGCUGUCUCGACCUGGGACUCGGCGAAAUCGACAUGGGGGUGAAGAUGCCCUCUACCCGCGGCAAGACGGAAAGACCCUGUGAACCUUUACUGUAGCUUGGCAGUGGUAUUCGGUUCAUUCUGUGUAGGAUAGGUGGGAGCCUAUGAGUCGGGCACGCUAGUGUCCGAGGAGGCACCGUUGAGAUACCACCCUGGAUGUGCUGGAUACCUAACCCCUUCGGGGGGACACUGCCUGGUAGGCAGUUUGACUGGGGCGGUCGCCUCCUAAAGAGUAACGGAGGCGCGCAAAGGUUCCCUCAGCCAGAUCGGAAACCUGGCGAAGAGUGUAAUCGUAUAAGGGAGCUUGACUGCAAGACCGACAGGUCAAGCAGGUGCGAAAGCAGGCGAUAGUGAUCCGGUGGUUCCACGUGGACGGGCCAUCGCUCAUCGAAUAAAAGGUACUCCGGGGAUAACAGGCUUAUCGCGCCCAAGAGUUCAUAUCGACGGCGCGGUUUGGCACCUCGAUGUCGGCUCAUCGCAUCCUGGGGCUGGAGCAGGUCCCAAGGGUAUGGCUGUUCGCCAUUUAAAGCGGUACACGUCCUGGGUUUAGAACGUCGUGAGACAGUUCGGUCCCUAUCUGCCGUGGGCGUAGGAAGGUUGAGAGGAGCUGUCCUUAGUACGAGAGGACCGGGAUGGACGUACCUCUGGUGUUCCAGUUGUCGUGCCAACGGCAUUGCUGGGUAGCCACGUACGGUCGGAAUAACCGCUGAAAGCAUCUAAGUGGGAAAUCCUCCUCGUGAUGAGCCUUCCCUGAAGGACCCAGAAAGACUAUCUGGUUGAUAGGCCGGAGGUGCAGGCCCAGCAAUGGGUACAGCUUACCGGUACUAAUCGUCCGAUCGGCUUU
rnacentral:rRNA from 1 species